rnacentral:antisense_RNA from 1 species
UCCAAUGAUGAGCUGAAUGGGAGAUCGAAAGAUCGCCGUGAUCCUUGACUACGGUACGCCAAUCUCGUUCAGUUCAUCACCUAU